UUACGCUGCUUAUUUGCAAUGUAAACUGCAUACUUGCAGGUUAUUUAGCAGGCUAAACUGCAAAGUUACAUAUUAACCUCCAUGAAAGAAUGGUAAACACGCUUUCUUAUUGAAGGUUAACCUCCGAUUUUGAAUUUCAUUCAGUUUUUUCGAUGUUAUUCUUCAUUUUUUUCAUGCUUUUAGUCAAAACUCUGAAGAUGUAAAAUUAUCUUCACGAAAUUCACAUAUUCGUAUUGCAACUUGACUUAUUUAUUUAUUGACUGUCAUCUCGACUUGCCAAUUUGAACUCGGCCACUUGUUGACAUGUUUGAUUCUUGACAUCCACUUUGACUUGGCCACUGUUGACUUAUUCACUCGAUUUUGAUUUUUGUUCCUAUCGAUUUUUUAAAAUGUUCAUCUCUGUCUUGAAAUGUUCAAUCAAUGAAUCAUAAUUAUUGACUGACGAUCAAGUUCAAUCUUUGCCACAUUCAUCCGUCACACACAUUGGCUACAUAAAAAUCAAUCAUUUCGAUGGAUUCGAAUUCUCAUCGCUCUGAUCAAAAGAUCUGGAUAUUCAGAUGAAUCUUUCAAUUAAUGAUCGUAACUUGGGAAUAAUGAAAAUCAUAGAUGAACACAACAUUCUGGAUGAAUGACAUUAACAAGUGCACGAUCGCCGAAUGAUCAAUCAGUAAAAGUCAAUCUGGCCAUCUCAACUUUUCGUCAUCAUCAUCAUUUACGAGAAUAUGGAUAACCGAGUAAAGACCCUUGAAAUAAAUGCAUCCAUUGGAUUAUCCAAAUUCUCUGGAUUCAUUUUAUAAUUUAUCUCAAAAAUUCGACCUUUUCAUCAA